rnacentral:rRNA from 1 species
UACGUAGGGUGCAAGCGUUGUCCGGAAUUAUUGGGCGUAAAGAGCUCGUAGGCGGUUUGUCGCGUCUGCUGUGAAAACUGGAGGCUCAACCUCCAGCCUGCAGUGGGUACGGGUAGACUAGAGUGCGGUAGGGGAGAUUGGAAUUCCUGGUGUAGCGGUGGAAUGCGCAGAUAUCAGGAGGAACACCGAUGGCGAAGGCAGAUCUCUGGGCCGUAACUGACGCUGAGGAGCGAAAGCAUGGGGAGCGAACAGG